rnacentral:rRNA from 1 species
CAGUCGCCGCGGUAAAACGGAGGGUGCAAGCGUUAAUCGGAAUUACUGGGCGUAAAGCGCACGCAGGCGGUCUGACAAGUUAGAUGUGAAAUCCCCGGGCUUAACCUGGGAACUGCAUUUGAAACUGUCAGGCUGGAGUCUUGUAGAGGGGGGUGGAAUUCCAGGUGUAGCGGUGAAAUGCGUAGAGAUCUGGAGGAAUACCGGUGGCGAAGGCGGCCCCCUGGACAAAGACUGACGCUCAGGUGCGAAAGCGUGGGGAGCAAACAGGAUUAGAUACCCGUGUAGUCCCUGUCUCUUAUAA